rnacentral:misc_RNA from 1 species
UUAUUUUCUUAUGUUUGAUUCAGACACAAAUAACUGAUUGUAGCUUAAAAGCGACGCCGAAGCGUCGAAGCACACAUUGCUUCCACAGGUUUGAAGGUUGAAGGCCUCAUUGGCCAUUCAGUAAUGAUCCCUCCGCAGGUUCACCUACGGAGA